rnacentral:rRNA from 1 species
GAGACAGACUCGUUAUAGGGUCAAGCGAACAAGUGCAUGUGGUGGAUGCCUUGGCGAUCACAGGCGAUGAAGGACGCGGUAGCCUGCGAAAAGCUACGGGGAGCUGGCAAACGAGCUUUGAUCCGUAGAUGUCCGAAUGGGGAAACCCACUCCUUUUGGAGUAUCCAUGGCUGAAUACAUAGGCCAUGCGAAGCGAACGCGGUGAACUGAAACAUCUAAGUAACCGCAGGAAAAGAAAUCAACCGAGAUUCCCAAAGUAGUGGCGAGCGAAAUGGGAUGAGCCUUGCACUCUUUAUUUGUAUUGUUAGCCGAACGCUCUGGAAAGUGCGGCCAUAGCAGGUGAUAGCCCUGUAGGCGAAAACAGUAUGAAAGAACUAGGUGUGCGACAAGUAGGGCGGGACACGUGAAAUCCUGUCUGAAGAUGGGGGGACCAUCCUCCAAGGCUAAAUACUCGUGAUCGACCGAUAGUGAACCAGUACCGUGAGGGAAAGGCGAAAAGAACCCCGGGAGGGGAGUGAAAUAGAUCCUGAAACCGCAUGCAUACAAACAGUCGGAGCCUCGUAAGGGGUGACGGCGUACCUUUUGUAUAAUGGGUCAGCGACUUACGUUCAGUAGCAAGCUUAACCGUAUAGGGCAGGCGUAGCGAAAGCGAGUCCGAAUAGGGCGUUCAGUUGCUGGGCGUAGACCCGAAACCAGGUGAUCUAUCCAUGGCCAGGAUGAAGGUGCGGUAACACGUACUGGAGGUCCGAACCCACUAACGUUGAAAAGUUAGGGGAUGAGCUGUGGAUAGGGGUGAAAGGCUAAACAAACCUGGAAAUAGCUGGUUCUCUCCGAAAACUAUUUAGGUAGUGCCUCGUGUCUCACCUUCGGGGGUAGAGCACUGUCAUGGUUGGGGGGUCUAUUGCAGAUUACCCCGCCAUAGCAAACUCCGAAUACCGAAGAGUGCAAUCACGGGAGACAGACAUCGGGUGCUAACGUCCGGUGUCAAGAGGGAAACAACCCAGACCGCCAGCUAAGGUCCCCAAAUAUAGCUAAGUGGGAAACGAAGUGGGAAGGCUAAAACAGUCAGGAGGUUGGCUUAGAAGCAGCCACCCUUUAAAGAAAGCGUAAUAGCUCACUGAUCGAGUCGUCCUGCGCGGAAGAUGUAACGGGGCUAAGCUAUAUACCGAAGCUGCGGAUGCGUGCUUAGCACGCAUGGUAGGAGAGCGUUCCGUAAGCCUGCGAAGGUGCCUUGUAAAGGGUGCUGGAGGUAUCGGAAGUGCGAAUGCUGACAUGAGUAGCGAUAAAGGGGGUGAAAGGCCCCCUCGCCGUAAGCCCAAGGUUUCCUACGCAACGUUCAUCGGCGUAGGGUGAGUCGGCCCCUAAGGCGAGGCAGAAAUGCGUAGCUGAUGGGAAGCAGGUCAAUAUUCCUGCACCAUUGUUAGAUGCGAUGGGGGGACGGAUCGCGGAAGGUUGUCCGGGUGUUGGAAGUCCCGGUCGCUGCAUUGGAGAAGGCGCUUAGGCAAAUCCGGGCGCGUAAUUCAAGGGUGUGGCGCGAGCUCCUUCGGGAG